rnacentral:rRNA from 1 species
GACGAACGCUGGCGGCGUGCUUAACACAUGCAAGUCGAACGGAAAGGCCCUGCUUGCCGGGUACUCGAGUGGCGAACGGGUGAGUAACACGUGGGUGAUCUGCGCUUCACUUCGGGGUAAGCCUGGGAGACUGUGUCUAUUACCGGGUAUAAGCCAUCUUUCGUGUGAUGGUUGGAAAGUUUUUUCGGUCUGGGAUGACCUCACGGCCUAUCAGCUGGUUGGUGGGGUAGUGGCUUACCAAGCCGGCGACGGGUGGCCGGCCUGGGAGGGUGGCGGGCCACAUUGGACUGAGAAUACGCCCAGGCCCCCAAGGGGAGCAGGCGGGGGGAAGAAUGGCACAAGGGGCGAAGCCCGAUGGAGCGAAGCCGCGGGGGGGAUGACCGGCUUCGGGUUGGAAAACCCCUUCGGCAGGGACGAAGCCUUUUGUGACGGUACCUAGAUAAGAAGCACCGGCUAACUACGUG